UUGGGACUGAGACACGGCCCAGACUCCUACGGGAGGCAGCAGUGGGGGAUAUUGCACAAUGGGGGAAACCCUGAUGCAGCGACGCCGCGUGGAGGAAGAAGGUUUUCGGAUUGUAAACUCCUGUCGUUAGGGACGAUAAUGACGGUACCUAACAAGAAAGCACCGGCUAACUACGUGCCAGCAGCCGCGGUAAAACGUAGGGUGCAAGCGUUGUCCGGAAUUACUGGGUGUAAAGGGAGCGCAGGCGGACCGGCAAGUUGGAAGUGAAAACUAUGGGCUCAACCCAUAAAUUGCUUUCAAAACUGCUGGCCUUGAGUAGUGCAGAGGUAGGUGGAAUUCCCGGUGUAGCGGUGGAAUGCGUAGAUAUCGGGAGGAACACCAGUGGCGAAGGCGACCUACUGGGCACCAACUGACGCUGAGGCUCGAAAGCAUGGGUAGCAAACAGGAUUAGAUACCCUGGUAGUCCAUGCCGUAAACGAUGAUUACUAGGUGUUGGAGGAUUGACCCCUUCAGUGCCGCAGUUAACACAAUAAGUAAUCCACCUGGGGAGUACGACCGCAAGGUUGAAACUCAAAGGAAUUGACGGGGGCCCGCACAAGCAGUGGAGUAUGUGGUUUAAUUCGAAGCAACGCGAAGAACCUUACCAGGUCUUGACAUCCGAUGCAUAGUGCAGAGAUGCAUGAAGUCCUUCGGGACAUCGAGACAGGUGGUGCAUGGUUGUCGUCAGCUCGUGUCGUGAGAUGUUGGGUUAAGUC
rnacentral:rRNA from 1 species